rnacentral:rRNA from 1 species
AGGACGAACGCUGGCGGCGUGCUUAACACAUGCAAGUCGAGCGGUAAGGCCUUUCGGGGUACACGAGCGGCGAACGGGUGAGUAACACGUGGGUGAUCUGCCCUGCACUCUGGGAUAAGCCUGGGAAACUGGGUCUAAUACCGGAUAUGACCUGCUCUCGCAUGGGGGUGGGUGGAAAG